AGGGAUAUAGCUCAGUGGCACAAGUAUCUGCCUGGCAAGCACUAGGUCCUGAGUUCCAUUCCUAGUAUCAUUA
rnacentral:tRNA from 1 species